rnacentral:rRNA from 1 species
GCAGCCGCGGUAAUACGUAGGUGGCAAGCGUUAUCCGGAUUUACUGGGUGUAAAGGGUGUGUAGGCGGGAAAGCAAGUCAGAUGUGAAAUUUACGGGCUCAACUCGUGAACUGCGUCUGAAACUGUUUUUCUUGAGGGUCGGAGAGGUAACUGGAAUUCCUGGUGUAGCGGUGAAAUGCGUAGAUAUCAGGAGGAACACCGGUGGCGAAGGCGAGUUACUGGACGAUUACUGACGCUGAGACACGAAAGUGUGGGGAGCAAACAGGAUUAGAUACCCC